UUUCCGGACCCCCAAGGACCACAGAGGACCAGCCCGGAGACCCACAGACUGGCCCUGAACUCCAAGUACCAGUGCCCAAGCCUGCUGACUGCCGCGUGGCGCCUGUGACACUGGCUGCUUUGUGUCACCUCUCCAAAGCUGACCUGGCCUGCGUUACUCUCUCAGUAGCAUUCUGCCUGGGGCCUUCCAGGCCAGGAAAAGACCCUUCAUGCAGAGCAUCCCCACUGGAAACUGAAACUACCCUUCAAGCAAUAAUGAGCGCCCUGAAAGAAAGCUCAGUCCACUUGGGACUCACACCUACAUGGAUGGGUCAUGGGGCAACCUGUGCGCUGACCAACAGUCAACCCUACCUCAUUGUUUUUGUUUUUUUUAAAGAUUUUAUUUACUUAUUUGAUGGAGAAAGAGAGCACAAGUGGGGGGAGCAGCAGAGAAACAGGAAGAAGCAGACUCCCCACUGAGCAGGGAGCCCAAUGUGGAACUUAGUCCCAGGACCCCAAGAUCAUGACCCGAGCUGAAGACAGAUGCUUCACUGACUGAGCCACCUAGGCACGCAACUCUACCUCAUUGUGAUACUAAAAUCUCCACCCAAGGAGGAGCACAAGCCUUAUUUAUGUAACUUACAAUGUACGUCUAGGCAUGUUUCCUUGAGGUGCAUGUGUGACUUUAUGCCCACCUCCACAUGCAAUGACAAGGCUCCCUUUCUAAAUAUUCAUCCUGACCCUGAAUUAAAAAAAAAAUCAUCCUUGUUCACAGCUUUGGAAAUUAUUCCCUGUGGUUUCCUUAUUUGUUGCAAAUAAAGUUUCUUUUGUGUGACAACUC